rnacentral:rRNA from 1 species
GCAAGUCGAGGGGUAACAUUACUGCUUGCAGUAGAUGACGACCGGCGAACGGGUGCGUAACGCGUAUAGAAUCUGCCUUGUACAGGAGGAUAGCCUUUAGAAAUGAAGAUUAAUACUCCAUAAUAUUGGGAAGUGGCAUCACUAUCUAAUUAAACAUUUAUGGGUACAAGAUGACUAUGCGUCCUAUUAGCUAGAUGGUAAGGUAACGGCUUACCAUGGCAACGAUAGGUAGGGGGUCUGAGAGGAUUAUC